CGCGUGUCCUGGACUCUCGCGCUGUGCGCUCGACUAUCCAUCAUUCACAGACAACAGCAACCCCCAGUCUGAGCGCUAUGACAAACGAAACAAUGAUAUCGAUUAUGACAGUUUCAUCGGCCUGAUGGGCAGGAGGAGUGCAGG